UCCCUGGUAGUCCAGGGGCUAAGACUCCAUGCUCCCAAUGCAGGGGGCCCAGGUUCGAACCCUGGCCAGGGAA
rfam:TPA: Bos taurus chromosome 1, whole genome shotgun sequence.